rnacentral:tRNA from 1 species
GCCUGGUCGGCUCAGUCGUUUGAGCGUCUGACUUCGGCUCAGGUCAUGAUUUCACACUCAUGGGUUCAAGCCCCACGUCGGGCU